UACGGAGGGUGCAAGCGUUAAUCGGAAUUACUGGGCGUAAAGCGCACGCAGGUGGCUGAGAAAGUCGAUUGUGAAAGCCCUGGGCUUAACCUGGGAAUUGCAGUCGAAACUACUCGGCUAGAGUAUGGGAGAGGGUAGUGGAAUUCCCGGUGUAGCGGUGAAAUGCGUAGAUAUCUGGAGGAACAUCGGUGGCGAAGGCGGCAUCCUGGACCGGUAUUGACGCUGAGGCGCGAAAGCCAGGGGAGCAAACGGG
rnacentral:rRNA from 1 species